CUGGCGGCAGCUUACACAUGCAAGUCGAACGGUAAAGGGGGAAGCUUGCUUUCUUGCUGACGAGUGGCGGACGGGAGAGUAAUGCUUGGGAAUCUGGCUUAUGGAGGGGGAUAACUACUGGAAACAGUACCUAAUACCGCGUAAUGUCUACCGACUAAAAGGUGAGACCAUUUGGCCACCUGUCAUAAGAUGAGCACAAAUGGGAUUAGGCAUUUGGUGAGGUAAAGGCUCACCCAGCCCUCGAUCACUAUCUGGUCUGAAAGGAUGACCAUCCAUCACUGGAACUGAGACACAGUCCAGACUCCUACUGGAGGCAGCAGUGGGGAAUAUUGCACAAUGGGGGGAACCCUGAUGCAGCCAUGACCGCGUGAAUGAAAAAGGCCAUCGGGUUGUAAAGUUCUUUCUGUGACGAAGAACGCGAGUAUUUUAAUAAAAUACCCGAUUGACGUUAAUCACAGACUAAGCACCGGCUAACUCCUUGCCACCAGCCACCGUAAU
rnacentral:rRNA from 1 species